rnacentral:tRNA from 1 species
GAGGAGGAAUUAGUUAAGAAUAACAUAACCUUGUCAAGGUUAAAUCAUUGGUUAAACUCCAAUACUCCUCU